rnacentral:rRNA from 1 species
UACGUAGGGGGCUAGCGUUGUCCGGAUUUAUUGGGCGUAAAGAGCGUGUAGGCGGCCAGGUAGGUCUGCUGUGAAAACUCGAGGCUCAACCUCGAGACGUCGGCGGAAACCAUCUGGCUAGAGUCCGGAAGAGGAGAGUGGAAUUCCUGGUGUAGCGGUGAAAUGCGCAGAUAUCAGGAAGAACACCCGUGGCGAAGGCGGUUCUCUGGGACGGUACUGACGCUGAGACGCGAAAGCGUGGGGAGCGAACAGG